AGCAGAGGACACCAUUGCCUGGAGAUGACAGAAGGCCGAGGAUGGAGAGAGGCACUGAUAGAGGCCAGACCAGACAAGCAGUGCCAAGUCCAUAGUGGGACACCAAAGGGAGGAGGCAAUCCCAGAUGAGGUCCAUCCCAGAACCAGACCUUGCAGGGACCUCAAGGAGCUAUGAACAUAGAAACCCUAUACACGAUAUCACUUGAAUCCCUCCACAGGGGCUUCUGAUAUUGUCUUAGACCUUCAGAAAGUUCAGGGGUAGUAGCCUCUGGGCCCAUAGUGCUCCCCUGAUGAUGCAGCCCCACCCUCGACUCUUGCCACUGCAGAUGCUCCUUGGGCAGUUUCAUCUGGGCCUUUCACAUCAGCUCCCUCCAAAUGUGACUGGACCUCAAAUGGAUCUUCAGACCCCCAUGCCCAACCACCUCCCAGCUACCUUCCCUGGACAACCCACAGGUCACAUGAUCACCAGGAAGCCCAUGUCUCUGCAUGAUAACCUGGAGAAACCUACAGAUGCCAGGCUUCUGAAUCUCAUUCACCGUGCUUCCCAGGGAUCAAGGAAGAAAUACCCAGAGAUACAGACUGAAAAAUCAGGAAACUGGAUGGGAUUCAGAGCCCUUGGAGCGGAGCCUUCUCAUUCAUUCACCCAACUCCAGUCUAAAACGUGCAGCUCUGAAGCCGGGCUGCUUCAUAGAGACUUGAGUAAAUAGCACAGUAAAGCCCAGGUUUUACCAGUGAGGAGGAGGGUAAAUACACUGAUCAUUUGCAAGAGCACCUCUUCAGAUAUGGCACCUCUCCUUGGAGAGAGGAGACUAUGGAAGACCGGGAGACAAUUCUAGCUGAAGCUCACACCACUUACACAACAAAAGAUCUAAGUCUAAAAGGGAGAGAGUAAAGACCUGGCUCACAUGGGUGUGAAGUGUACGUGUGGAAACAUUGCAUGUUUAACAUUUCACAACAUCUUGUAGCAGGCUUACUACGGCGGGAAGGACAAGUGUGGCUGGCCCAGCCAGUGCUGUCCUGCUCAGACCUUCCUAGGCUUUGCAAUGCUGGGAUAAUAGGGAAGCCACACUCAAUGAGCAUUUCUCAGCCUCACAUCUCCUGGUCAACCCAGAAUGCCACAACCACAGGCUGAACCACAGAUCUGGAGGCUGGGAAAUCCAAGAGCAUGGCACUGGCAUCAGGCAAGGGUCAGCCCAUGCUGGAGGGCAGAAGGCAGAAGUGAGCAUGUGAGACAGAGAUAAGAAAUUAGGCUGAACUUGCUUGUAUAGCAAACCCAGCCUCUCAAUAACUAACCCACUCCGGCAAUAAUGGCAUUAAUCCAUUCAUGAGGGCAGAGCCCCCAUGACCUAAUCACAUCCUAAAGGCCCCACAUCAAUCAUAUCUCAACAUGAGGUUCAGAGGACACAAACAUUCAAACCAUAGCAGAAGAAAAUGGCAAUCUUGGCUCAAGUCUUCCCUUUGCCCUACCAGAAGUGAACCUGCCCACAGAAGGCACAAAUUUGCCUCUGCUCUUCCAUGAUGUAAUUUUGACCGGUAAAGGCUACCAUACAGCACUGCUGAGAACUGACCAGUUCUGGGGUUCAGAUCUCAGGUCCAUUUGACAGAGACACCAAGCCACAUCCUCCAACUCAGCUCUAUCCAUAAUAUUGCUGUGGCCUCUGUCUUUAUUCUUUGAUUUACUUCCUGAAUUGUGCAGCACUGAGGUGGAAAAGACAGAAGGCUGCUUACUGGUCCUCAAUGGACUCAACAUUGUGAAUAAUUGAUUAAUGAAGGUAUGAAGGAAAGGAAAGGAAAUUUUACAAAGAAGGAGCAAACAGAAGAAAUGACUUCCCAUCCUCUCAUACCAAAAAGUAGGAGAGAAGCAUGUGCAUGGGAGACAGGAGUUGAAAGUGUUCACAGUUGAUAUUGUCUACUUUCUCUAUGCAGCUGGAAACAAAGCUAUUUGCUGAGAGUGAGAAUGUUAAAGAUUUGAAGCCUUGAAGAGGUUGAAACACUACUUGAGAGAAUGAGAGAGAGGGGAUCAAGGAUAAGUAAAUGUGAGGAAAGUCCCCUCAUUGCAAUAUGUUUACAACUAAAUUGCACUUGCCCCAAAAACAAAGCCAAGGGAAAAAAAUGUAGAAAAUGUAGGUAGAAAAUGGCUACAUAAUCAGCUUACAAUUUCAACUUCAAUUGACAAUCAGUAUUCCUCCCAGGGUAGACUCUUGGGGAAAGAGCAAGGGCCUAGAAACCUGGAUUUACAUCCCAGAACUGCCAGUAAUAAAUGCAUUGGGUGAGCUGAUGAAGAAGAUAAUUGCAUGUGGUUGGAAGCUGCUGGCAGGGCCCUCAUGACCCCUCCCUCCUGGUGUCCACUCCUAUGUGUAACUCCCUCCUCUUGUAUGUGAGCUUGACCUAAUGACUCACUUCUAAAGAACUGAGUACAGCAAGAGUAAUAGGAUGUCACUUCUGGUAUUGGGUUACAAAAAACUGACUUCUGUCUUAUCCACGCUCUCACUCUCUCCAUGUUUGCUCUGAUGAGGCAAGUUGAAGAGGUACACAUGGUGGGGAACUGAGGGUGACCUCCACCUGACUACCAGCAAGGAACUGAAGCCCUCAAUGCAACACCCAUCCAGGAACUGGCCUGGGUCCAUAAAUACAUGAGUGAGAUUGAAAGAAGAUCCUUCCAUGUUGAGUUUUCAGAUCAGAAUGCAGCCCUGGUCAGCACUUCUGUUGCCUUCUUAUGAGGGAUCCCAAAGCUGUGCCUGGAUUCUGACCCACAGAAACUGUGAGCAAAUAAAUGUGUAUUAUUUGAAGCUGCUAAGUUUGGGGGCAAUUUGUAAUGCACAAUAAAUAAUUCAUGAUGUGAAACUGUCCG